AGUGAACGCUGGCGGUAGGCCUAACACAUGCAAGUCGAACGGCAGCACAGUAAGAGCUUGCUCUUACGGGUGGCGAGUGGCGGACGGGUGAGGAAUACAUCGGAAUCUACUUUUUCGUGGGGGAUAACGUAGGGAAACUUACGCUAAUACCGCAUACGACCUACGGGUGAAAGCAGGGGAUCUUCGGACCUUGCGCGAUUGAAUGAGCCGAUGUCGGAUUAGCUAGUUGGCGGGGUAAAGGCCCACCAAGGCGACGAUCCGUAGCUGGUCUGAGAGGAUGAUCAGCCACACUGGAACUGAGACACGGUCCAGACUCCUAGGGGAGGAAGCAGUGGGGAAUAUUGGACAAUGGGCGCAAGCCUGAUCCCGCCAUACCGCGUGGGUGAAGAAGGCCUUCGGGUUGUAAAGCCCUUUUGUUGGGAAAGAAAAGCAGCAGGUUAAUACCCCGCUGUUCUGACGGUACCCAAAGAAUAAGCACCGGCUAACUUCGUG
rnacentral:rRNA from 1 species